UCGGGAACCACUUCAGCGUGCCCCGCCCCUGCAGGUCCUAGCCCGUUUUCUCCCCUCAAAUCAAUAGUUUCCUUGUAUUUUAUGAUUGUAAGAAGAAAACUGCUUUCAAAAAGUGCCUGCUCCCUGCAAAACUGAUAUGUUGAAACCAAUACCCAGAGAUUAUAUGAUCUGCCUCAGGUCACAAAUCAGCAAAUAGAAGCAGCAGCAGCAGCAGCAACAGCAGCAGCAGCAGCACAGUAAUAGAAUCUGCGCCUUUGGAACAUCCAUGUGUCAACAUCAAGUUUGCUGCUGUAAAUGUUUGUCCGAAACCCAGGAAAGAGGUAGGGCAGGAG